UACGGGGGGGGCAAGCGUUGUUCGGAAUUACUGGGCGUAAAGGGCUCGUAGGCGGCCAACUAAGUCAGACGUGAAAUCCCUCGGCUUAACCGGGGAACUGCAUCUGAUACUGGAUGGCUUGAGUGCCGGAGAGGGUCGCGGAAUUCCCGGUGUAGAGGUGAAAUUCGUAGAUAUCGGGAGGAACACCAGUGGCGAAGGCGGCGACCUGGACGGACACUGACGCUGAGACGCGAAAGCGUGGGGAGCAAACAGG
rnacentral:rRNA from 1 species